UUGGCCGGGCGACGGUUGUCCCGGUUUAAGCGUGUAGGCUGGUUUUCCAGGCAAAUCCGGAAAAUCAAGGCUGAGGCGUGAUGACGAGGCACUACGGUGCUGAAGCAACAAAUGCCCUGCUUCCAGGAAAAGCCUCUAAGCAUCAGGUAACAUCAAAUCGUACCCCAAACCGACACAGGUGGUCAGGUAGAGAAUACCAAGGCGCUUGAGAGAACUCGGGUGAAGGAACUAGGCAAAAUGGUGCCGUAACUUCGGGAGAAGGCACGCUGAUAUGUAGGUGAAGUCCCUCGCGGAUGGAGCUGAAAUCAGUCGAAGAUACCAGCUGGCUGCAACUGUUUAUUAAAAACACAGCACUGUGCAAACACGAAAGUGGACGUAUACGGUGUGACGCCUGCCCGGUGCCGGAAGGUUAAUUGAUGGGGUCAGCGCAAGCGAAGCUCUUGAUCGAAGCCCCGGUAAACGGCGGCCGUAACUAUAACGGUCCUAAGGUAGCGAAAUUCCUUGUCGGGUAAGUUCCGACCUGCACGAAUGGCGUAAUGAUGGCCAGGCUGUCUCCACCCGAGACUCAGUGAAAUUGAACUCGCUGUGAAGAUGCAGUGUACCCGCGGCAAGACGGAAAGACCCCGUGAACCUUUACUAUAGCUUGACACUGAACAUUGAGCCUUGAUGUGUAGGAUAGGUGGGAGGCUUUGAAGUGUGGACGCCAGUCUGCAUGGAGCCGACCUUGAAAUACCACCCUUUAAUGUUUGAUGUUCUAACGUGGACCCGUAAUCCGGGUUGCGGACAGUGUCUGGUGGGUAGUUUGACUGGGGCGGUCUCCUCCUAAAGAGUAACGGAGGAGCACGAAGGUUGGCUAAUCCUGGUCGGACAUCAGGAGGUUAGUGCAAUGGCAUAAGCCAGCUUGACUGCGAGCGUGACGGCGCGAGCAGGUGCGAAAGCAGGUCAUAGUGAUCCGGUGGUUCUGAAUGGAAGGGCCAUCGCUCAACGGAUAAAAGGUACUCCGGGGAUAACAGGCUGAUACCGCCCAAGAGUUCAUAUCGACGGCGGUGUUUGGCACCUCGAUGUCGGCUCAUCACAUCCUGGGGCUGAAGUAGGUCCCAAGGGUAUGGCUGUUCGCCAUUUAAAGUGGUACGCGAGCUGGGUUUAGAACGUCGUGAGACAGUUCGGUCCCUAUCUGCCGUGGGCGCUGGAGAACUGAGGGGGGCUGCUCCUAGUACGAGAGGACCGGAGUGGACGCAUCACUGGUGUUCGGGUUGUCAUGCCAAUGGCACUGCCCGGUAGCUAAAUGCGGAAGAGAUAAGUGCUGAAAGCAUCUAAGCACGAAACUUGCCCCGAGAUGAGUUCUCCCUGACUCCUUGAGAGUCCUGAAGGAACGUU
rnacentral:rRNA from 1 species